rnacentral:rRNA from 1 species
UACGAAGGGGGCUAGCGUUGCUCGGAAUUACUGGGCUUAAAGGGCGCGUAGGCGGGCAAGCAAGUCGAAGGUGAAAUCCCACGGCUCAACCGUGGAAGUGCGCCCGAAACUGCAGAGCUUGAGUACCGGAGAGGAUGGCGGAAUUCCCCAAGUAGAGGUGAAAUUCGUAGAUAUGGGGAGGAACACCGGUGGCGAAGGCGGCCAUCUGGACGGAUACUGACGCUGAGACGCGAAAGCGUGGGUAGCAAACAGG